AUGGCAGCAAAAAGAAAGUGUUCAAAUCGAUUAAGCUUAAUUGAAUGCUGAUACAAUGCUGCCAGAAUAAUCUUUUAAGCCAAGAACAGUUCAGUUUAGAGCAGUCUAUAAACUGAUCUACACGUGGCCUAACAAUA
rfam:Drosophila persimilis strain MSH-3 cont1.002344, whole genome shotgun sequence.